GAAGCUUAGAGAAGUUAAGUAAUGUGUCCUAAGGUCACACAGCUACAAAGCAGCAGUACCAGAAUUUGAACUCAGGCUCUCUAACUCCAGACCCCCAGUUCUUUACAACUGUAUGGCAGAUAACUUAUGUUUUCCUUAGAACUUACAGUGAGGCACAAAACUGGCUGAAAUGGAGGAAUCAGCAAUCUCUGCCAAGGUUAUGUAGUUGUUCUUUUGGAGUAGAAGUUCUAAUUUUGGCUUACUGAAGACAUAGGGUAUAAUUCCUCAUCUUGAUCUAAUUAAUAUCCAGGGACCAGAAAUUCAAGUCAUCUUUGAUAUAAGAAACUUAUCAAACAGUGCCAUCCAAUGAGGAUAUUUUCUUGUCUACUUUCAAAAUUGAGUUGGGAGUUUCAGUUAUUAUUUAAAAUUUUUUUCACAAAUAUAGUUUUUUUUCAUAGAACACAGAUGCUCUUAACUCCCUAGCAGUCACCAUCUGUACCUCAAUUUACAUUUCCCAAAACACUGCUGACAUCUGUUUAAAUGCCAAUCUCUCCCCAACUUAGUAGGAUUUUAGCUCAAAAGUGAUAUCCUUUGAAUGAUUUGAAAUUUCAAAGUUAAAGUGAUUUUAAUCAAAAUGCUCAAUGGCUACAGGUAUCCAGGCUGUAUCUGUCCCUUUGAGAAGGUUUCCACAAAAUGGAGGCUAAUAUUAAUAGUGAUCUGUCAUUUCCAGGGGAAUGUGGGACCAUUUUGCCAGGUUAGACUUUUCAUCAAUGGGAAAAGGAAGGGAGAGGUUCUGAGUUGUCAGGGAGAGAAUUCUGGGUGAUUAGGAGUUCUCCCAAAGAAUCAUUGCCCUAGAUUCCUUUCUGUAGGUUGAUGCUCCUUUUAUACAGAGAUGUCUGACUUUCUUCAGCAAAUCAUUAUGUGAGAGGAGGCAUAGAACAUACGUCUGGGGAUAGACUCAGCGUGGAAAUGGGGCUGAAGGCUGGUUGAACAGUGGGACUGAGAGAGAAGCAUGAGUUGUGGGAAACUGAUUUUUUUUUUUAAAGAACAUAUAGAAAUUAUGCCCCUAAAUGAGUGAUGCUCCUUCCUAAUGGGCACCUGGGGAAACUAUAAACUUAAUCUAAUGGUUCCAUAAUUAUUCAAAACAUUCAAGUAGUUACUUUGAAGUCAAGGGCACAUUUGUUUUGGAAAUUCUCAAUGAUGUUAAAUCUUUAUUUGAGAGAAAAUUCGAUUUUUGGACAAAUCCAAAAGUCAUCUGGAAUGUAGUUUUGUUAUAAAGUGGGUUUUGGGGGGCAAUUUUUCCUAAGUGGUUCACAAAGGGAUUCCAAGAAGGCAGUUUCAUAAGAUGAUUUUAGAGAAAUCGUAAACAAUGGAAGCAUCAGGAGACUAGGUAUGUAAUCCCUUGAGAAGAAUUCUUCAUUUGGAAGUAUAAAUUUGGUCUUGUUUGUGUUUUGGAAUCAGACAGAUCUGGGCUUUGGAUCUGACUUCAUAUAUAUUUCAAGAUAUGUGACCUGAGUUACUUAACCAUGUUAAGCCUCAGUUAGUUUUGUCUCCUGUGAAAUAGAGAUAAUUAUAGUAUCUACCUCCUGGCCUUGUGGGGAUUAAAGAGGGCAAUGUAUGUAAAGUGCUUUGCCCAGCACCUGGCAUAUAAUAUAGAAGGCACUCAAUAAAGUGGUUGAUAUAUGGAUUCUAAUCUCCUAGGAUGCAGUGUGAUGUAUCAGAAGGACUUGGAGCCAUGUUCUACCACUUAUUUGGCUAUAAUGGUCCUAAGAAAGCCAUUAAUUUGUAGGGUCCUACUUCCUUCUUUGCAAAGUUUAGCCCUUGGGAAGGCAUUUUACCACCAAUAAAUCCCUACCUUUGUAAAACCCUAACAACACAGAGGUUUUAGAGAGUAUAAGGAGAGAGAAGGAACGGUUUAAAUCAACCUCUCGAGAGACUGAGGAAUGAACGGUGGAGACCAGCUGUGAGAGAGAUGGUUCUAACAUGGAAAAAUGAAUCAAAGUCUUGAAUACAUCAUCCAAGGUGAGGAAACCUGCAGGGGUUGAACAGGAGUCUGGGGAAGCAGGAGCCCCCUUUUUUUCCUGUCUACACAACGUGCAGAGAAUAUCCGUGAUUAAAAUUCUUAACACGAUUUCAAAGCAUCACCUUCCUAGGUAGAUGAUACACAAGGGCAGGCACAGAGAUUGCGGGAAGAUCUGACUUGAGUGGCUCGUUUGUGAGAGCUCAAGUAACCCUCCGUAAUGAAUUUGCUAUUUACUGAUACAGCAGUGCCUUCGUUUGGCAUUAAUGGGCAGGGCCAAUGGAUAGUCAUAGUUAUUUAAAUUCAAGCUUUGGUACCAGGCCACUAGAAUUGCUGCAGAAGGAAAGUGAUAUGCAAUUUCAAAGGUACUUACUGCCAUACCAUCUAGUAGCUGAAAAACAGAAAGAAGACAUGAAAAAUAGGAUGAAACUACAAAUGCUAAAUAAUGAUGAUAAUGAUGAUGCUACUAAUAAUACACUUUAUUUGGAAGGCAUAGUGAAGGGAGACUUCCUGAAAAGUAUUAGCCCACAAGGGGUGAACUUAAGCUGCAAGAUGGCCCAACGUGGCUCGCAAAUACUUCUACCAAUUUAUAUAAUUAUGGGAGGAAUUUCAUUGGGUGUAAUUUUUAACUAAGCUUCAACCUUCACCCUACCCUCAUUCCAAAACUCCCUCUUUAGUUAUUUCUGGAGCCCUCAGGCCAGGCGGUGUCUCAUGCGUAAUCUAGAAUGAGCCACUUCAUGUUGUGGUGUCCUCGUCAAAGGACCUUGACAUUGCCUCUGUCCUGAUGGCCUCUAUAAGAAUGCUGCCCUGAAAUCAAAACUACAAUGAGAUAUCACCUUACACCUGUUAGAAUGGCUAUAAUCAGCAAGACGAAAAACAACAAAUA